rnacentral:rRNA from 2 species
UAGGGAAUCUUCGGCAAUGGGGGCAACCCUGACCGAGCAACGCCGCGUGAGUGAAGAAGGUUUUCGGAUCGUAAAGCUCUGUUGUAAGAGAAGAAUGUGUGUGAGAGUGGAAAGUUCACACAGUGACGGUAACUUACCAGAAAGGGACGGCUAACUACGUGCCAGCAGCCGCGGUAAUACGUAGGUCCCGAGCGUUGUCCGGAUUUAUUGGGCGUAAAGCGAGCGCAGGCGGUUUAAUAAGUCUGAAGUUAAAGGCAGUGGCUUAACCAUUGUUCGCUUUGGAAACUGUUAAACUUGAGUGCAGAAGGGGAGAGUGGAAUUCCAUGUGUAGCGGUGAAAUGCGUAGAUAUAUGGAGGAACACCGGUGGCGAAAGCGGCUCUCUGGUCUGUAACUGACGCUGAGGCUCGAAAGCGUGGGGAGCAAACAGG